CUAUAGUAUGGUAUGAACUAUCGGAGAAAGAUUCUAACUCAAUACAAUCAGUACAACACAAUAAAGAUUAAUCUUUUUGUCAAAUACUUAUGAUCAUUUAGUUUACUGAUUUGUAUUUUUCCUUUUGAACAGCUGCCAAUCUCAGAUUCUGCUGCUAAUCUGAGAAAAGAAAACUACACUAAAAGCAAAUAGAAAAGGACCUUAGUGGUUCGGCGGAGCAGAAGAAGAUGGCUUUGAGUCUGGGUUUAUUUGGGGUUGCUUACUUACAGACAUUACUCUCUAGUCUUUGCAAAACCUUGGGCACUGCAAUACAGAAGAGAAGAAGGCAUAUCAGUUUGAUCUCCAAUUUGACAAGUGAGAUGCCAUCAAGCUGUACCGCAUCGAUCAGGCUCUGAGAUACAGAGGUUGGGUUGAAAAUGAGUGUGAAAUUUCACCAUCUACGGGUACCGGGGAAUCUCACUGUUUUUGCUUCCUUCACUGGUCAAUCUGACCAGGUAAUGGUUUCCGUUCUUGAUUUGGGUUCAAAAUAUUGGUGUUCGGUGAUUGGGUUUAGGGAUUUGCUUUGUGUCCUGCAAGUAUAGGAACACAUUGGUCUUUUUUUUUUUUUUUUGGUGCUUUUCGUCGUAUAAACUGGUAUAUUGUUCUCAGUGGUUUCUUACUUCCUCUCUGUUCAAAGGUGUUGAAUCAAAUACCCGGAUUAUUAUCUUUUGGAAUUGCAUUGAGAAAAGCAAGAGAGCUCCAGGUCAGAUACCCUCUCCCAGAUUAUCUUUCUCCUGUUUUGGUUUCUGAAAUUGGUUCAAUUUGAUGUCUGUAGGACAAAUGAAUGAUACCAAUUUUGUGUUUGAACAAGAAAAAGAAUGAGUGGGAAUGCUUGGAUGGUUUAUGUGGUGUUAUAAAUUGGGUGUUUUGGUUCCGGGUUUCAAGUUUUUGUUUGUGCAAAAACUGAUACAAAACUUCUUCUCUUCUGUAGUGAGUGUAAAUUAUAAUUCAAGCAGUUAAAGUUGAGGAAGUUAGGUAUUAACAAUGCUGUAAAGUUUGGGUAUAUAUUCUGACUAUUCGGUUUUGGCGUCAAUUUCUAAAGUUCUGUGCUGUUUUGGCCUUUUCUAAAUUGAAC